UAUGAAGAUUGGUCAUUGCUAUGGCUGCUAUAAGAAGUCUUGUUUCAAGGAUGUUUUUUCUUGUUGUGACAUCUUGCUUUCUUAUAUUCAUGUUCUCUUACGUUUAUACCCAGGAGUCUCCUCUGUCCUUUUCUAAUCUUUCUUGCUGGACAGUUUUUUCCUUAAGACAGCUCUAUCUGAGUUGUUUGUCCCUAUGGCAGCCAUGAACAAUAGAGUAACUAUCUUUGCUGUUUAUCUAUCCUUGACAACUUGAUGUCCAACUUGGCACUGAGGAUAACUUCUUGAGGGCUCAUAUUUCCUUUAGGGCCUCAACUCCAACGAUUCUUCAACCCCACUGUGACCUGAAGUCCAUGCAUCCUACCCCCUUUCUGUUGUCUCUCACUCUCUUCAUGUCCCAAUUUUCUACUGUUUCAGCUCACAUUUUACUCUGCAUUACUCUAAUUACUGUCUUGCAUUUUCUAGGCACACAUUGCUCCUUUCCCCUUCCUUUGUAAUCACUUGGCAAAAGUCUAACCCAGAUUACAUUCAACUCUUCAUGCCCAUCUUGCCUACACUCACCCAGCUAAACACAGAUGGAGUGAAACACACCAUUGUGCUGGCUCGUUUCACUUUACAGCCAUGACUACAAACCACGCAUGGGUCCUUAGAGCUGCCGAGUAGUCAGAUUAUGUUUCUGGAGCCCCUUUACUCUCCUGUUCUUUUAGGUAACCAUUUUAUACCUUAUCUUCUCCCUCAUUUUCACCUUCAGCUGAUUUUCUUGUUUCUUGUUUCUUUAAGAAAAUAGAAGCCAUCAGAAUGAGACAUCCCCAUGUCCCCAUCAUCGCACUGUCAACCGCACAUCUGCACUCAUCUGCGCUCAUGUUCUCUGCCUACAUUUCUUUUUCUUAGAAUGAACUGCCUGUGCUUCCUGCAGAGUCCAAGCCCUCCUCUUAGGAAGUCGACCGUCCUCUUUCGCCUGCCCAAGGACAUCACUCUGGCAACUCUUCCCCCUCUCCUGCAUUAUCUGUUGGCCUUUCUGUGUCAUACACAUAAGCUCUAUUUUUUCCCCAUCUAAAAAAGAAACUCUUUUGACUCUAGGCCUCUCCAGCUACCACCCUACUUUUCUACUGCCCUUUAGAAAAAACUCCUCAAAAGAAUUAUUCUCACAUUUCUGCAGGAUAACAUCACACAUUCUCCUAGUUCUAUAUUCUUCUACUAGCUAAUUUCUUUGUACCAUAUUUAGUUUUUAAAGAGCUCCUUUCUCUAUAAAUAUUUCAUUUCAAUGCCAGAGGUCAUAUCAGAUGGAGAAUGGCUGGUUGGUGGUUUAACACUGAUUAAAAGAAGAGGAAAAGCAGCCAAAUAUUUAGAGAAAAGGUGAAGCCAUUCCAUCCCAUCACCUUUGUUGGAGCAUUUCAAUUUGCUCUCUACCUUAGAUGUGCUCUCUAGCCCAUAGCUGAGCUAAAGGUAUAUUAAGUCUGUCUAACCGGGCUUGAAGGGAAGCUGGAAGACCAUUUGUUCUUUUAAAUCUCUUUAGUUUGCAAUUGUCAGAUUCAAUUUUGAGGGGAAGAGUUCAGAGCAUCAUUGAAAGUAAAAAAGAUGGGGGAAAGUGAUAGCCACAUGAUAAAUUAUAUCAAAGUCAAAGUCAUCGCCCUAUGGCAAUUUUUGCAAAGAAGUAUUUUUAGCAUGGAUAGCUAAAGGGUAGAGCAUGUCACAGAGACACCUGUGUAGUUAUGCAGACUGGCAGGGAUGUAGAGGAACUAUUAGAACCCCUGCCUUGUGUAUCAAUGGCAUAUUUUAUCCAUGGGCAGAAUUAACAGAUAAUAUUCGCUAUACUGAUUAGGAGAGAAGACAGCUUCAUCUCCACACAGCUGGAAAUAUGUCCUGCUUCAAUGUCAAUUUGUUUAUGCUGUGGGCCAAGUCAUGCCCCCAUAUGUCUGUAUUUUCACAUCUCUAACAGAUAUUAAUUGCACUAGAUUUGCUGUGCUGUACUUUUGAUUAGUCAGAAGUUCGGCCUAGUAAGUUAGAACUCUGUGUUCUCACUGUGUUAAAGGGAUGCUUGUCAUUAUAUUGUUUUGAAAUUGUUUAAAAGAUACAGUUAGGGAGGCAUAGUCCUUGAUCUUUUAAAAUCCUUUUAAAGAAAUGAACGGGGCAAUUAGAUAGCAAAACUGAAAACUUAUGGGCUUUUAUUUUUUAAUUUUUAAUUACUAUGGGAACAUAAUAGUCAUAUAUUCUUUCAUUCUUUUUUUCCCUCCCUUCUUGUUUAAGUUAGGCCAGAGUCCAGUUUUCUUUAUGGUUUUUUUUUUUUCUUUCUUUCCCUUUUUUUUUUUUUUUUUUUUGCGAUGGAGUCUCGCUCUGUUGCUCUGUUGCCCAGGCUGGAGUGCAGUGGUGUGAACUUGGUUCACUGCAACCUCAGCCGCCUGGAUUCAAGCGAUUCUCUUGCCUCAGCCUUCCCAGUAGCUGGGACUACAGCCGCGCGCCACCAUACCCGUAUAAUUUUUGUAUUUUUAGUAGAGACAGGGUUAUGCCAUGUUGGCCAGGCUGGUUGAGAACUCCUCAUCUCAAGUGAUCCACCCACCUUGGCCUCCCAAAGUGCUGGGAUUACAGGUGUGAGCCACCGCGCCUGGCCCCUUUACUUUUUAUUUAUUCUUUCUAAUUUCAACUUUUAUUAUAGAUACAGGGGGUACAUAUACAGGUUUGUUCCAUGAGUAUAUUGCAGCAGGUAUGGGCAUAGUACCCAAUAGGUGGUUUUUCAACCCACAGCCUCCUCCCUCCCUCCCCCAUCUAUAGUCUACAGUGUCUAUCGUUCCUAUGUUUAUGUCCAUGUGUGCUCGAUGUUUAGCUCCCACUUAUGAGAAAGUGUGAGAUUUGGUUUUCUAAACCCUGCACGUGUACCCCUGUGUCUAAAAUAAAAGUUGAAAUUAGAUUAAAAAAAAGUGAAGACCCUGGUAUAACUUAAACAGGAAGAAAAAAAGAAUUAAAGAUUAUAUUACUAUUACGUGCCCAUAGUAAUC
rnacentral:lncRNA from 1 species